UCCCUGGUGGCUCAGUGGUGGAGAAUCUGCCUGCCAGUGCAGGAGACUCAGGUUCGAUCCCUGGGUGGGGAU
rnacentral:tRNA from 1 species